rnacentral:sRNA from 1 species
UAACAAUUAUUUCGGGGGAACACUUCUGCAGAAGAGCGCUAUCUCUCUAUCUCCCUAUCUGAAGAUUCGUUUUGGUUCUGCCUCAAAAAAGGGGCGUAUAUAUUCUCGAUAAAUCGAUAAACAGUUGAUUGUCAUAGAACACACGGCAGCGGUUUUCCUAAGUCUUCUUCCUAUGGGUACUCGCUGGACAAUGAAAUCACUUUAAGGAUGGGCUGUGUUAGCUUAACUCGUUAUAUCCUUGUUAAUUUAUACGGACAUGGCCGUUGCUCAAUCUCUGCCGCUGCCCCAUCCUGCCCCGUCCUGCGCCAGCAGCGGGGCAGCAGGUGGACUUCCAGUGAGACAGAACGCGACAGAAUCUCCUGCCAGAGACACGAGCCGAAGGCAAGAGUAGAAGUUGCACACAAUUUAUGGGUCGCCACUUCAAGUCAAUAAGCGCAUUUGUCUUGUCCUUUCGAGGACAGCGGGACAUCCACUGACAUUCUACGACAAAUGCAGUCAGUGAAUAGAAUGGCCUGCGUUGGGGGGAUUCAUGCGAUUCAUCGGCCAGAUCUCCUGACGGGAGUGAAGACACGGACUCAGGAGGGGUGUGCAG